GCCACCCCUCAAACACAUCACCUUAGAAGUGGGGGAGAAAAAACUGAAAUUCUUCCAAUGCUGUAUUUCCUGUGAUUUCAGCCCAGAACCAGAAAGAGGCCAGAAUGGGACCCUAUACUCCAGCUGGACUUCAUACAGAGGACCCAGAUAUUGACCAAUCAGAACGAGGCCCUUCCAACCAAUCAAGACAAGGUUUUUUUUCUUUUUCUUUCCCUCAUUGGCAUAUUGUGCGGGAAUGGGAACCUGAAAGGGAAGUUUCUUUACAUAGGUAGGACAUCCCUGCUGUUCUAGGAGGCCAGCAUAACUAUUUUGUUAUUGUUGUGUGUCCCUUCAGCUCAAGUUCUAACGCCAAUAAAACCUUGCAUGUGCCUUUGA